rnacentral:rRNA from 1 species
CAAUAUGAAGGUCAGGCUGAAGACCUUACCCGAUUAGCUGAGAGGUGGUGCAUGGCCGUCGUCAGUUCGUACUGUGAAGCAUCCUGUUAAGUCAGGCAACGAGCGAGACCCACGUCCACAGUUGCCAGCAUACCCUCCGGGGUGAUGGGUACACUGUGGAGACCGCCGCUGCUAAAGCGGAGGAAGGAGUGGGCAACGGUAGGUCAGUAUGCCCCGAAUCUCCCGGGCUACACGCGGGCUACAAUGGUUGGUACAAUGGGCAUCUACCCCGAAAGGGGAAGGAAAUCUCUUAAAGCCAAUCGUAGUUCGGAUUGAGGGCUGCAACUCGCCCUCAUGAAGCUGGAAUCCGUAGUAAUCGCGUUUCAACAGAACGCGGUGAAUACGUCCCUGCUCCUU